UCCAGACUCCUACGGGAGGCAGCAGUGGGGGAUAUUGCACAAUGGGGGGAACCCUGAUGCAGCGACGCCGCGUGGGUGAAGGAGCGUUUCGGCGCGUAAAGCCCUAUCGGCAGGGAAGAGGGAGGACGGUACCUGACUAAGAAGCCCCGGCUAACUACGUGCCAGCAGCCGCGGUAAUACGUAGGGGGCAAGCGUUAUCCGGAUUUACUGGGUGUAAAGGGGGCGCAGACGGCAGCGCAAGCCAGGAGUGAAAGCCCGGGGCCCAACCCCGGGACUGCUCUUGGAACUGCGCGGCUGGAGUGCAGGAGGGGCAGGCGGAAUUCCUGGUGUAGCGGUGAAAUGCGUAGAUAUCAGGAGGAACACCGGUGGCGAAGGCGGCCUGCUGGACUGCGACUGACGUUGAGGCCCGAAAGCGUGGGGAGCAAACAGGAUUAGAUACCCCAGUAGA
rnacentral:rRNA from 1 species